rnacentral:rRNA from 1 species
GAUGAACGCUGGCGGCGUGCCUAAUACAUGCAAGUCGAGCGGAAAGGCCUCUUCGGAGGUACUCGAGCGGCGGACGGCUGAGUAACACGUAGGAACGUACCCUGAAGUGAGGGAUAACUGCUCGAAAGAGUAGCUAAUACCGCAUGUGCUCUAAGGAGUAAAGCUUCGGCGCUUUGGGAACGGCCUGCGUCUGAUUAGCUAGAUGGUGAGGUAAUGGCUCACCAUGGCGACGAUCAGUAGCUGGUCUGAGAGGAUGAUCAGCCAGACUGGGACUGAGACACGGCCCAGACUCCUACGGGAGGCAGCAGUAGGGAAUUUUCCACAAUGGGCGAAAGCCUGAUGGAGCAACGCCGCGUGCAGGAUGAAUGCCUUCGGGUUGUAAACUGCUUUUAUAUGUGACGAAUAUGACGGUAGCAUAUGAAUAAGGAUCGGCUAACUCCGUGCCAGCCGCCGCGGUAA